rnacentral:rRNA from 1 species
UCGCUAUUGGAUGAGCCUGCGUCGGAUUAGCUUGUUGGUGGGGUAAUGGCCUACCAAGGCGACGAUCCGUAACUGGUCUGAGAGGAUGAUCAGUCACACUGGAACUGAGACACGGUCCAG